GUGUCAUUAGCAUGACACUUAAAUUCCCUUUAGAAUGAGAGCUACAGCUGAGAAAGGAUGACAGUUUUUGUCCUACUCUGCAGAUCUGGGGCAGCAUGGGGAAUUUUCAUCCUAAAACCAGGACUUGUGGGCCCACGACUGUCAGGCACACAAGGAGAAAGAGAGAAUGCUGCUCUCCAUUUGGAAAGGACAAUUUAUAGCAUCGGCUCCGGGAACUUACAAUGUACGUCCCUGUCUUCCCAGCCUGCGAUUCAUCCAUCCUCAUUUGUAAUGGAGUAAUGGCUGUGGCAUGCGGCAGUUCAAGCAGAGUGAGAUGCUUUACCUGGUGGUGAAUGAAAGCAACAGGGGAGAUCUUGGCUCUGUAUCAACAGAUAUGAGCAAAACCUUGACGGAAGGAUAAACAUCAUAUCUACAGGCCCCAUCCAGAUUCUAACCCAGAGUUCAGCAAACUUUCUUUUGUAAAGGGCCGGAUUGUAAGUAUUUCAGGUUAUGUUGGCCAACAAGGUGCAUCCGUGGCGUGUGUACUACAAAUGCAGCAUUGAUUCUUCGUUGCCUGCCUGGCUGCCUUUUGAUGAUCCCUGUUCUAGACCCACAAUUCAGACGAAAUGUCUCUGCCCAGGCUAUCUCUGAACAUGCAGUUCACAGCUUCCAUUAACUCUUUUGUAAAAUAAUUCCUUAGAAUGGCCCUCCACACGUCUCUCUGUACAUAUGAUUUCAGUCUAUUUCCUUACAGCAUUGUUCUUUGCUUCUCAUUUUAAUGCAUUAAAGUAUGCAUACAUCCAUGUGGCUUUACAUGUAUUAACCCAUUGCUUAAUUUUAAUAGAACGGUUUACACUUUAUGCGUACACAGACAGUAUAUUAUUGCAGUGGUUAAGGC
rnacentral:lncRNA from 1 species